UGCUGACAUAACGUGGAACGCUUGAAUUUUAAGCAAUUUUAUUGUGCUGAGAAGGUUUUCUUUUGUUUUAAUCACAAAAACAGCUACACAAUUUGAGGCUGGGUCAGUCUCAUAUUUUGGAGAGAUCUUAACCUAUUGCUUUCAUGUAGAAGCACAGCACAAUUGUCAGACUACUGUUUCCACUCCUGUGAGAACAGCAGAUGCCAGUGCUGAGGAUCAGAGCAUAAAUGGGCUGAUUUCCUUUCCAGGGGACAGCUCCUGACCGAGUGCCACUUCCCUGCCUUGCUGCAGACCCUUGUGCUGCUGGGGUGGGUCUGCAGAGGGGUUUGGAGCCUUUUCCCCUCAGAGCUGGGGUCGAGGAGCGACCCUGGGGAGACCGAGGGGCUCACCCCAGCCUGCAGCAUCCUCCUGGGGGAACAGGCACCGAUCUCUGCCCGCCCUGAGCCGCGACAGAGCGAGGGCAGGGUAUGGAUUGUGCCAGGGGAGCUUGGGUGGGCAUCAGGCUCUUCUCCAGAGGGUGCUGGCACUGCCCAGGCUCCCCGGGGCAUGGCACGGCCUGAGGCUGCCGGAGCUCCAGGGAUGCCCAGGGAGGGUUUUGUGCUGUGUUUUGCUGGCAUUUUGCUGGCAUUUUGCUGUGUUGUGCUAGCAUUUCGCUGUGUUCUGCUGUGUUCUGCUGGCGUUCCGCUGUGUUCUGCUAGCAUUUUGCUGUGUUCUGCUGCCGUUCUGCUGUGUUUUGCUGUGUUCUGCUGGCAUUUUGCUGUGUUCUGCUGGCGUUCUGUGUUUUGCUGUGUUCUGCUGGCGUUUUGCAGUGUUCUGCUGGCAUUUUGCUGUGUUCUGCUGGCGUUUUGCAGUGUUCUGCUGCCGUUCGGUUUGUUCUGCUGCGUUCUGCUGCCGUUUCUCAGUGUUUCGCCGGUGCUCCGUGCACGGCCGGGGCUGUACUGUGUCCCUGCCAGCCCAGGCCGUUCUGCGAGCGCCGCGCUGCAGCGGCCGCCCUUCUCGGGGCCUGUCCCCGCCGUCACCCAGACUAAAUUUAGGAGAAGCCACGUUCCCCGCCAGCGUGCGCCGGGCCAGGCACGACCGGGCCGGGGCCGCCCCCGCGCCACGAUCUCGGCCUUUGCGGCGCUGAGUCACGGCGGC
rnacentral:lncRNA from 1 species